rnacentral:snRNA from 1 species
CAGUGUUAUAGCUCUUUUAGAAUUUGUCUAGCAGGUCUUCCAAUCUCUACUGGAAGCCCCUC